rnacentral:rRNA from 1 species
ACGCUGGCGGCAGGCCUAACACAUGCAAGUCGAGCGGUAGAGAGAAGCUUGCUUCUCUUGAGAGCGGCGGACGGGUGAGUAAUGCCUAGGAAUCUGCCUGGUAGUGGGGGAUAACGUUCGGAAACGGACGCUAAUACCGCAUACGUCCUACGGGAGAAAGCAGGGGACCUUCGGGCCUUGCGCUAUCAGAUGAGCCUAGGUCGGAUUAGCUAGUUGGUGGGGUAAUGGCUCACCAAGGCGACGAUCCGUAACUGGUCUGAGAGGAUGAUCAGUCACACUGGAACUGAGACACGGUCCAGACUCCUACGGGAGGCAGCAGUGGGGAAUAUUGGACAAUGGGCGAAAGCCUGAUCCAGCCAUGCCGCGUGUGUGAAGAAGGUCUUCGGAUUGUAAAGCACUUUAAGUUGGGAGGAAGGGCAGUUGCCUAAUACGUAGCUGUUUUGACGUUACCGACAGAAUAAGCACCGGCUAACUCUGUGCCAGCAGCCGCGGUAAUACAGAGGGUGCAAGCGUUAAUCGGAAUUACUGGGCGUAAAGCGCGCGUAGGUGGUUUGUUAAGUUGGAUGUGAAAUCCCCGGGCUCAACCUGGGAACUGCAUUCAAAACUGACUGACUAGAGUAUGGUAGAGGGUGGUGGAAUUUCCUGUGUAGCGGUGAAAUGCGUAGAUAUAGGGAGGAACACCAGUGGCGAAGGC